GAGUUUGAUCCUGGCUCAGGACGAACGCUGGCGGCACGCCUAACACAUGCAAGUCGAACGGAGAUAUGAAGAUUUAUCGGAAUAUCUUAGUGGCGGACGGGUGAGUAACACGUGAGCAACCUGCCUUUGAGAGUGGAAUAGCUUCUGGAAACGGAUGGUAAUGCCUCAUAACAUACAAGAAUCGCAUGGUUUUUGUAUCAAAGAUUUAUCGCUCAAAGAUGGGCUCGCGUCUGAUUAGAUAGUUGGUGGGGUAACGGCUCACCAAGUCGACGAUCAGUAGCCGGACUGAGAGGUUGAACGGCCACAUUGGGACUGAGACACGGCCCAGACUCCUACGGGAGGCAGCAGUGGGGAAUAUUGCACAAUGGGGGAAACCCUGAUGCAGCGAUGCCGCGUGGAGGAAGAAGGUUUUCGGAUUGUAAACUCCUGUCUUAGGGGACGAAAAUGACGGUACUUUAGGAGGAAGCUCCGGCUAACUACGUGCCAGCAGCCGCGGUAAUACGUAGGGAGCGAGCGUUGUCCGGAAUUACUGGGUGUAAAGGGAGCGUAGGCGGGAUUUUAAGUCAGAUGUGAAAUACGUGGGCUCAACCUACGGGCUGCAUUUGAAACUGAAAUUCUUGAGUGAAGUAGAGGCAAGCGGAAUUCCUGGUGUAGCGGUGAAAUGCGU
rnacentral:rRNA from 1 species